AGCGAACGCUGGCGGCAAGCCUAACACAUGCGAGUCGAACGAACUCUUCGGAGUUAGUGGCGGACGGGUGAGUAACACGUGGGAACGUGCCUUUAGGUUCGGAAUAACUCAGGGAAACUUGUGCUAAUACCGAAUGUGCCCUUCGGGGGAAAGAUUUAUCGCCUUUAGAGCGGCCCGCGUCUGAUUAGCUAGUUGGUGAGGUAAAGGCUCACCAAGGCGACGAUCAGUAGCUGGUCUGAGAGGAUGAUCAGCCACAUUGGGACUGAGACACGGCCCAAACUCCUACGGGAGGCAGCAGUGGGGAAUCUUGCGCAAUGGGCGAAAGCCUGACGCAGCCAUGCCGCGUGAAUGAUGAAGGUCUUAGGAUUGUAAAAUUCUUUCACCGGGGACGAUAAUGACGGUACCCGGAGAAGAAGCCCCGGCUAACUGCGU
rnacentral:rRNA from 1 species